CCUACGGGAGGCUGCAGUGAGGAAUAUUGGUCAAUGGGCGAGAGCCUGAACCAGCCAAGUCGCGUGAGGGAGUACUGCCCUAUGGGUUGUAAACCUCUUUUGUCGGGGAGCAAAAGCCGGACGUGUCCGGCUGUGAGAGUACCCGAAGAAAAAGCAUCGGCUAACUCCGUGCCAGCAGCCGCGGUAAUACGGAGGAUGCGAGCGGUAUCCGGAUUUAUUGGGUUUAAAGGGUGCGCAGGCGGAUUUUUAAGUCAGCGGUAAAAUCGUGGGGCUCAACCCCAUCCAGCCGUUGAAACUGGGGAUCUAGAGUGUGCGAGAGGUAUGCGGAAUGCGUGGUGUAGCGGUGAAAUGCCUAGAUAUCACGCAGAACCCCGAUUGCGAAGGCAGCAUACCGGUGCACAACUGACGCUCAGGCACGAAAGCGUGGGUAUCGAACAGGAUUAGAUACCCCUGUAGUC
rnacentral:rRNA from 1 species